GACAGAGGUGCCAAGCGUUAGGCGGAAUCACUGGGCUUAAAGCGUGUGUAGGCGGAUUUGUAAGUACCUUGUGAAAUCCCAUGGCUCAACCAUGGAACUGCUCGGUAUACUGCGAAUCUUGAGCCACUUAGGGGCUACCGGAACAAAUGGUGGAGCGGUGAAAAUGCGUAGAUAUCAUUUGGAACGCCAAUGGUGAAAACAGGUAGCUGGGAGUGUGCUGACGCUGAGACACGAAAGCCAGGGGAGCGAACGGG
rnacentral:rRNA from 1 species